GUGGUCUAGUUUUCAGAGAGAGUUUUAAUUACAGGAAACGAGCUGCAAUUACUUCUUUUGAUCGUGGCAGGGUGGGGUCUGUCCACUUACACGCACACUCUCUAACCAUAUAUGCCCACACACACACAUACAUAUACCAAUCACUUAUGUAUCCGCAGACAUAAGGAAUACACACAACGCAGACAAACGGAGUGCAUGACAAGAAAAUGUAAAGACAUGGAAAAGUCACCGACCGGGCCGACGCAUAAAUUCAAUAAUGUGUAUGAAUAAUUCCUCUGAUGUUGAUAGUUUGACCUUAUCUGCUGAGUCAGAGGAAAGUAAUUAGCAAUGAGUCAAACGCUCUUCACGCCUUAACCACAGAAAGAGACGCUGAGCUAGACUUGAUUGAAUUAGUGACAGCUGAACCCCAAAACAGUGCCAGACCUCGGGCUUGUAACUGGCAUUGCUUGAAAUGUUUGUUUUUAGUAAACUGAACCACAUGCUCAUGAACAGGAAGUGACUGAUAUUGAUUCUGGAGUCUUUGCAAUGACGCAAAUAAGAUUACAACUCUGAUCGACACAUGCAUAUACCAACCUAAAUCUGACUUCCUUUCUCCUAGCUCUUCCGAGAGGUGAGGAUCAUGAAGAUGCUGAAUCACCCCAACAUAGUCAAGCUCUUUGAGGUGAUAGAGACAGAGAAGACUUUGUACCUGGUAAUGGAGUACGCGAGUGGAGGAGAGGUCUUUGAUUACUUGGUGGCU